UUAACCCGCCGAGCCACCCACGUGCCCCUUGCACCCUGUUUUCUAAGCUGGUGUUGACAAUCUGACUUUCCUCUGUGCAAGACCAAUACCAGCUCAUCAGUUUUCUAUUUCGGGGUGUGAUUUAUAAAAACAAAACUGUAUUUGAUUAAUAAAAAAAAAUACUUACCAUCUAUAAUUAUUUUUAAUGAUUCAAGAUAAAAAAUAUAAAAUGCCCAACACAGUGUAUGGCAUACACUAGGGAGAAUUCAUCUCAGUUAUUAUUAUCAACUGUCUCAGGGGCGUGAGGACGCCUGGGGAUCAUUAUAGGUUCCUGCGCAAAGCUGGUGAUUGUGGGGAUUGCUGAAGACCUGCCCCAGAGGCCGUGUGCAAGGGAGGGGAGCUGCCCCUGAGCCCUUGUCGUCCUGACCCCCAGGAUGCAGGAACAAGGAGAUUAUCUAGUUGCAGAUCAGGCUUUAGCACUUCUAUGCUCAUCAUCUGCUGAAAGCCCUACAGCACCCUUGGAGAGUGGGCAGGGAAGACAUUAUCCCUGUUUCACAGAUGUGGAAACAGAGGCCUUGGGAGGACAAGAGAAGGAAUGGCUCAUGGUCACAAGCUUAUAAGUGGUGAGGUCAGGCCUAGAAUUCGGGUCUCCUGACACCACUUGUACAUACAAAUUAAAAAGGUGGAAGAGAAUCAAAGGGGUCAAGAGGUUAGAGUCUCAUCUGAGAUUCCUCGGAUUUUCUUUUUCUUUCUUUCUCUUAGUUAUACACAUUUUUUUUUUUUUAAGAAAGUUCAGGUUUUGUGAAAAGCAAAAACCCUAGCUACUUGCAUAGGGCACAACAGUGAUCCCACACCCGAAACCCUAAGACUCAUGACAUUACCCACCAGUUCCUCCACAUUGGAGUGGACACCUUCCUUGCUAUCUGCCUUGCUGGGAUGAAGCAGCCUGCAUUUGCAUUCUGCCCUGCCAGGCCACAGGCAGCACCUUCUGCUUGGUUUACUCUUGUAGAACGGAGAUGAUGUUGCCUGUGAGGGACAGGGUGGGGAUUCUGCAGUGUAAUGUCUGUGAAGCUGCUCAGGCCAGGUUAGGAAGACCGCUCAGUCCUCUUUUUGGCCUGACCACAGUCAGCUCUGUUCUCUGUCAGGAGCGGCCACUGAGGCAAGGGGCAAUUCCGGAAGGCCAGUCAGGGUUUCCCCUCCUUCUGAGAGACAGCUUGGAGCGCUGGAGGAAGCAGGUGAUGCUUCAGUCAGAAUGCAGAAAAUGCAGACAGAGAAGUGGGCUGUGGUGAUUGUUAGCUCAGGAUGGGGGAAGAAAGCCCCAAGAAACCAUAGGAAGAAUGGGAAGUCAGCGCAGGGCUUGGGGAGCAGGGGUGCAGACCACAGAAUAGAUAAAACAUACAUGAUUCUAGCUUUAAUGUUUCAUUUCUUUAAAAAUGUUAAAAAAAAAAAAAAGCAUUGCCAAGUAGUAGAAUUCAAAAGAGCCAGGAGAUAAGGUACACCCUCUAUAUUUUCAUGUUUAUUGUCAUUGAAAUGUUGAUUAAUUUUUUUAAAUAAGUCAAUCCCUCAAAUUAAGUUUUAGGAAACUAUUUGAGGAAAAUUUCUGUUUUUGCUUCAAAUUAUCUUAUUUUCCCAUUUCCAUAGUUUCUGUUAUUAAUAUGAACUGCCAUUUUUUGAUCACCAACCUUGUGCCAGGCACUUUAUAAAUAAAUUCCCUAGAAUCCUUCCAGCAUCUCUACAAAAAUAAUUAUUCUUGUCCCCAUUUGCCAGAUGGGGAAGCUGAGGCUUAAGGUCACACUCCUAGGACUCAAUGGAGGAGGGCCUUGAAGCCCGCUCUGGUGACAGGGGCAUCUACACUUUCCUGUGACACAGUUUAGUGUCUUGAUGAAGAGUCUUGAAUGAGUAAGAGUAGAAGGAAGACGUAAGAAUGGUACACUGGGUGUGGUUUGGGCGGGGUUUGGGUCUGGGAGGCCUCAGGAAUGGAAUGUCUAAUCUUUUCACUUUUCUGGAAAGACAAUAGUGUCUCUGUUGUGUGGUCAUUUGGGUGCGGCCUUACUGUGUUUAUUCGGGAGGUUUGCUGUGACAUCUGUGACGCUGAUUGGCUUUUGUAGUCCAUCAGGAUUUGAAAAGUGACUGCGGGCGUCACCGGAAGAGUGUGUGUCAUUGUUUCAUUUCAGUAUCUCCUACCUAUGAACUUCCCUUCGCGAUCUUGUCAGGGUCUCCUUCUCAGGAGUUGUAAACCAUUUCACUGGCUCCCUCCCCUCACAUCUGGGCUCUUUGCCCUGAGGUAACUGGCUUCUUUUCCAAGGGUUUUACACUCAGGGUAAAAGCCGAUAAAACACCCAAGAACUGUGUAGUUACUUUGUAGUUAAUCUCACUGGCUCUUGGGAGCGUUGUUUCCGGAGAGAUUUGGCAGCAAAUGAGGAGAGAUUGGGAAACCUUGUCACAACAUUCCGGAGGCAGCCACGUUUCUCCAACCCCACAUUUGUGAGUCAUGGUGCUUCCUUUCCCAGAGUGAGCCAGCCGAGGUGUGAGGCUCCCAUGAGGGGGUGUGGAGGUGUUGCUGUUUCUGGGGGCUUCCAGUCCUUUCAAGGUGAGGACAGUGGUGACAGGUCUCAAAUGUGCUGCUACCCCUUCCAGACCAGCCUGCCUGUUUUGGGCAGUCCUGGUCCAAGGGAUGCUCCUUAGGGGUAUUGAGAAGGACAUCACAGGUCAUUGACCUCCCUCUCCCACCCAAAGAGUGGGUUCUGUCUCCAAGCCCCGUAACAGGGCCUUACGCACUGCUGCGGUGCUGAAACAACUGUCUUCCCCACCAGACAGUCUGGCCUAGUCCCAACCAACUCCGUAAGGCUCCUCAAAAUAUUCAGGGAAAUUCUGGGCCUCUGUAAUCUUCCCACACUCUGAAUUACCAUCUGUAGAGCAACACCAAGGAAGCCAUGUUCACCUUCCCCUCAGUGGCUCCUCAGGGAUGGAUCUGAAGCCAGCUCUCUGGUCCCCCGGCUCUCCUCCCCAGUCCUUCCUGCCUCUUUUCUUGCCUUUCUCUAGUGAAACCGCCCUUUAUCCUCAACCUUCCUCCUCUGCCAAUCUCACACGCUGGAUUGUGGCGUUGUUUCUGUCAGUGACCCCAUUCAACACAUGAUGUUACGGAACAAGGCAGUGUGGGGAGAUCCUAGUCGAGGAUCCUCCUGGAAGCUCUGAAGGAGAGUUUGUUCCUGGUGUCCUGCUUCUCUUCUCUGCCUGGGAGGAUGCUGAAUCAGAACAUCAAAAUAGUCUCUCAACUGAAGCCAAGUAAAGGACUUUUUCAAAUGCCCGAUUUACCUUCAGGUGGCUUAAAUCACAACAGGAAACAAGGUGCUGGCUGCCCAACUCAGCA